UACGUAGGUGGCAAGCGUUGUCCGAAAUUAUUGGGCGUAAAGGGCGCGCAGGCGGCGUCGUAAGUCGGUCUUAAAAGUGCGGGGCUUAACCCCGUGAGGGGACCGAAACUGCGAUGCUAGAGUAUCGGAGAGGAAAGCGGAAUUCCUAGUGUAGCGGUGAAAUGCGUAGAUAUUAGGAGGAACACCAGUGGCGAAAGCGGCUUUCUGGACGACAACUGACGCUGAGGCGCGAAAGCCAGGGGAGCAAACGGG
rnacentral:rRNA from 1 species